UUCAAACGUGCUGGAGCAAAAUAACGCUCCUCCAUGUCUGCACAACGUUUGGCCCUUAAACCAUCGAACAAAUGGCAAAAUCUAUUGAUUUGAUCUCUCUUUUCGUCUACUCUCUCUGUUUUCAUCUCAAUCAACAUCACCUGCCCUCCCAUCACCUUUGUUGAAGCAAAAAUGCUCUGUAAUUUCAUCAGAAGAUGGGAAAAUUCAAAGAGCAAUCGGUUUCAAGGUGUUUUUUCUUUUGAAUCGACGGCUAUCAAGCUUUAACCGACACUCCACCGUCAAUGCAUCGUUUUCCCGUAAAAUCAGCUGAAAAGUUUUCGAUUACACUUUUCUUACUCUUCUUGCUGAUCAUUGUUGGUGAGAAAAUCGUUCAUCGAUUCGUGGUUCAGGUUCACUGCCCGAAAUAAGUUUGAGUUGAAUCUCCAACGAAAAAGCCCAAGUUCGCUGCCCCACACAAGAGAAGCGAUAAUAGAUGCAUCACGUAUUUCCGUCUAGCAGUCUAGUACCUUUUCCCUCUUUUCAAAUUUUAUUCUUCUUUUGUAGACACUUAUUGUUAUUUUUGUUUAAUAUUUCAGACAUUAUUAUUUAGAAUUUUUUUUUGUUCUUACUUGAAUUCUUAAAUAUGAUAGUAAGUUAAUUUGUUCCCUUUUGUCCCUCUUAGAUUUUAAAUUAGCAUGUCGCUAGACAUAAGUAUUUAAUUUAUAUCAUUAAAAGUUUUAAAGUUGAUAGGUUAAAACAUACCUUUUAGAAUAAUUGGUCGAGUUGUUAGAGAUCUUUAACGCUUUAAUAUAGAAUAAUGGUUGUCUUUAGAAUCAAUGUUAGAUACUCACUAUUUAGUAAUAGUGAAAGAAAUAAAAAUAUAGGUUUUUUGCGGUAGGCGAAUUUAUCAUUCCUAGACUUGAAAAUCGGCUUUAAUUAUUUUGGAUAUGGUAAAUCAAUUCCCUUUUCUUAUCAAUUUCAAAUAAAAGAUAGUAAGUUUUCCACUUUGAUUCCAUGAGGCAUUUUCUUAAGAUUUCAAAUGCCGAAAAAAAUAUUUUCUUUAA